AUUGAACGCUGGCGGCAUGCCUUACACAUGCAAGUCGAACGGCAGCACGGGUGCUUGCACCUGGUGGCGAGUGGCGAACGGGUGAGUAAUACAUCGGAACAUGUCCUUUAGUGGGGGAUAGCCCGGCGAAAGCCGGAUUAAUACCGCAUACGAUCUACGGAUGACAGCGGGGGACCUUCGGGCCUCGCGCUAUAGGGUUGGCCGAUGGCUGAUUAGCUAGUUGGUGGGGUAAAGGCCUACCAAGGCGACGAUCAGUAGCUGGUCUGAGAGGACGACCAGCCACACGGGGACUGAGACACGGCCCAGACUCCUACGGGAGGCAGCAGUGGGGAAUUUUGGACAAUGGGCGAAAGCCUGAUACAGCAAUGCCGCGUGUGUGAAGAAGGCCUUCGGGUUGUAAAGCACUUUUGUCCGGAAAGAAAUCCUUGGCCCUAAUACGGUCGGGGGAUGACGGUACCGGAAGAAUAAGCACCGGCUAACUACGUG
rnacentral:rRNA from 1 species